rnacentral:lncRNA from 1 species
UUGAUUCUGAUUACCUCUGGGCGAUUAUGAGGAAAUCAUCUUCCAUAAAUCGCAAAACUUGAUUUCUGGUUCAAUCUGAGGUUUGAUCAUCCAAGGUAAUACUUUUUCUUCGUGAUGGAAAGCUGGUGUUUACAUUUGGUCGACGAUUGGUCAGCGGCUACCGAUUGUAGACUGAUUCAACCUUCGUGAAACCCAAAUUUUUAUUGUCUCUGAAUUCCAGCUUUCACUAACUCACAUGUACUAUCAAUUUCAGAAGUGAACGCUAAUGAUGAUGAGUUAGGUUGGUUAUCGGCUUCUCAAGCAGAUAAGAUAGCCCUAAUGUAUUGAUGGA